UACGUAGGGUGCAAGCGUUAAUCGGAAUUACUGGGCGUAAAGCGUACGCAGGCGGCUCUGCAAGACAGGUGUGAAAUCCCCGGGCCUAACCUGGGAACUGCAUUUGUGACUGCAUAGCUAGAGUCUGUCAGAGGGGGGUGGAAUUCCACGUGUAGCAGUGAAAUGCGUAGAUAUAGGAAGGAACACCAGUGGCGAAGGCGACCACCUGGACUGAUACUGACACUGAGGUGCGAAAGCGUGGGGAGCAAACAGG
rnacentral:rRNA from 1 species